GUGAAUGAAUUAAGAGAAAGGAGGGUGUGAUCCUCUUCUUCUUCGUUGAGGCCACAGAGAAAGGAAAGAGUGUAAAUGAGCACCGUGUGGGUGUGUUACUUCCCGAGCUGCACCACUCUCGCUUGUAGCGCGUGCAAGCUCUCUCCAACGCACCUUCUUCAUCCCUCAUCCAUAUCCACCCAAUUCCAACUACGCGCUUCACAGACCAGCACCACAAGGACCAGAACAAGGAGAAGCCGAAGGACCAAAAGCGACGCCGAGAUCUGUAACGAUAUUCGGGAAUUUCUCACUUCGGUUGGCCUCCCCGAAGACCACAUUCCCUCUACAAAGGAGCUUUUGCUUCAUGGAUGGAAUGACUUGGCAAACAUUGUGAGACGGAGAGGGCAUAAACAGAUUCAUGAGCUUCUAACAGCAAGUUCGUUACGUGUUGACAUUGAUUCUUUAACAGGUCAGAAUGAGAAGGUGGAUAGUUUGGUCAAUCAUGCUGAAGCGGUCAAUAAUGAUUUUGAUAGUUCGAGGGAAGGUCUUUAUCCCAAUUUUGAUGGCCGUAGUUCAAUGCCUACUGAAAUUUCUGGUGAAUCAUCAUUUGAGGCAAUGUGUGCUGUGAAUUCGGAGUUUGAGGAUAGUUUAGCGGGUAAAGUGGUUGGAAAGAAUGAGAUAACCUUGCCAUUGGCAGUUCCUUCUGUGGAAAACUGUUCCAGUGCUUCAUCUAAUGAUUCUGAUAUUGAUAGUGGAGAUGAAGAUUUGGAACCGUUAAUUGAUUUGUCCUUGGAGCAAAAGGACUUGCCUGCAUUGGAAGGUUUAGAUGACGGCAAUGAGAAUGUUGUGGAAGAUGUUCCGGUGACCUCUGAAGCUUUUGUUAGGGAAAAUUUUGCUGGGGAAUACAGAAUUGAUUCAGUUGUUCAUUCUGCUGACAGCAGUUCUAUGAAUCUUGACACUUCGGCCAACUUGUCUUUGAAGGACAAGGUUGCAAAUUUUAUUCAGAAUGGAGAUUUAGACCCAGUUGAAGAUCAUGUCUCUGGCAUUUCAAAUGGGGAUGAUGGUCAGGAAAGUGAAGAGUAUAUUGAAUCAGAACCUGCUGUCAAUAUGCCCCAAGGUGCCCAUCCAUCUGAAGAUAAUAAUUUCAUUGCCCUUCAUGGGAACUCAUUGACAUACAAGGAUGAUCACAUGCAACGUGAGGAUCUAACGACUCAUUUUGACAAGGAUAUGGUUGCUGAGGCUCCAAAAGUGCAAAACGAAAGUGAGAUAAAUCAUCUUAAAUUCAUGCUGUAUCAGAAGGAGUUGGAACUGUCCCGGCUGAAGGAACAGAUUGAGAAGGAAAAGCUUGCUUUGUCUGUCUUACAAACCAAGGCAGAGGCAGAAAUCAGCAAAGCCAGAAAACUUAUAUAUGAAAAAGAUGCAGAGUUACACAUUGCUGAAGAAAGUCUUUCAGGACUCAAGGAGGUUGAGAUUGAGUUCUGUGGUGAUGGUGAUGUUGUGGAGGUGGCUGGUAGCUUCAAUGGUUGGCAUCACCAAAUAAAAAUGGAUCCUCAACUGUCAACUAGUGCUAUAGAAGUUGGAGAAUCAAGGAGAUCCAGAUCUUGGUCAACGAUGCUGUGGCUUUAUCCUGGUGUAUAUGAGAUAAAAUUUGUUGUUGAUGGCCAAUGGAGCACAGAUCCUCAAAGGGAGACAGUAACAAGGGGUCACAUUUGUAACAACAUUCUAAGAGUAGAUAGAUGAUGCAUUCUGGCUCAGGUCACAAUUGCUAGAUGUAUAUAAAAAUAUAUUCGUUUGGCAUAGACACCCUGAAAGAGAAGUAAUAGAUGUGAUGAGUGAUGUGACCAGAAGAGAGAUAGAGAAGUGGGGGUGGGGUGGUCAAAUGGGCCGUGACGCUGUUGAGGGUACAUAAAAAUUGUAGAAAAUGGUUUCUGUGGAUUUCUAAAUGAUAACGUUUGACAGCAAUAUGGACAAGAGGGUAGAAACAAGCACACGACACAACAAUGAGCAGAAUCUAAACGAGUAUCAUUUACCACUGUCCUGUAUGUACAUGUAUGUACGUUUGCGUCUUGGACUAAUAUUGAGAUCAUGACAUCAUCUGGGACUCGCGGUAGUUAGUUAGAUAUUAGGAAGUAAAGAUGGGUUUGUAGGGAGGGAUUUGGCUAGUUUGCAAGAGGUGGUGGUAGCUUCAAACCAUUCUAUCAUUGUAUCAAUCAGGAGAGAAUAGUAGCCCCCUUCGUUUUUGUAUUCCUCACUUCUUAUUUCUGCUAUUCUUUUGGUGGUUUUUAUUGUCAAAGCCACACACAAGAACCAGGAUAAAAGUUCGUUUCCCAAGCUUCUGUAAAUUUAACACGCGAUAUUCGAUUACUGCAUUUUCAAUUUAGCACUAACGAAGUGAUGAAUUCAGGCAAAAUUAUUAUUUGAAAGAAGUUAAGAAGGGAUAGCUUAAUCUGUAUGGACUGAUAUGACUCAAGCUCAUGAGUGGGAACGACAAUUGGCACAUUGAACCUCGUUUGCUCAAUUAUGGACGUUAUAAUUACGGCCAGAUUUUUCUUCUGGUUCUGAAAACCUUUUUUUUUUAAAAGGGCAAAGAACCUGAAU